AUUCCCUUUCAGGAUGCUCCUACAGCAGCUGCCUAAUACUCUCAGUUGCAGUCAGAUGUUGGCUGGGACCACAGUCAUCUAAGGAUACUGCUCAAGCUGGCUGUUGUCUGGAAACUCAGCUGGGGCUACUGAUCAGAGCACCUGCAUGUGGCUGUCCAGCAAGGCAAUGUUAAGGAAUCUUGGAAAAUCAGGACUCAGAGUUUCUUGCUUGGGUCUUGGAACAUGGGUGACGUUUGGAGGUCAAAUUUCAGAUGAGGUAAGUUACCUUUGGCCUCUAUUAUGCUAAUGAAAGAAAAUGCAGAGAGAGCUGUAUAGCAGGAGUCCUCUUCCUGGGACCCUGACACUCUACAGGGAUAAGGUUUAAUUCACAGGAAAUGGUAAAAUUGACUCAGAGAUUAUUGUUGAUUUUAUUUUUCCUGUUGCAUUUUUUACAUUUAGACUAUUAAUAGCCCUUGAAGCUGUACAUUAUAUAUGCAGGUUGAACAGUCAGAGAAUGAAACAGUUUGGAAUAAACAUUAGUCACUUUAUGAAAAGAUUGUAUUGCUGUGAUGUUGUUUUGCUUUAUUUGUUUGUUUACUUU
rnacentral:sRNA from 1 species